rnacentral:rRNA from 1 species
UACGUAGGGGGCAAGCGUUGUCCGGAAUUAUUGGGCGUAAAGCGCGCGCAGGCGGUUAUUUAAGUCUGGUGUUUAAGCCCGGGGCUCAACCCCGGUUCGCAUCGGAAACUGGAUGACUUGAGUGUAGGAGAGGAAAGUGGAAUUCCACGUGUAGCGGUGAAAUGCGUAGAGAUGUGGAGGAACACCAGUGGCGAAGGCGACUUUCUGGCCUAUAACUGACGCUGAGGCGCGAAAGCGUGGGGAGCAAACAGG